AGUAGUUGAUCAGUGGCUCAGGACACGCUGGCGGCGUGCUUAACACAUGCAAGUCGAACGAUGAACCGGAGCUUGCUCCGGGGAUUAGUGGCGAACGGGUGAGUAACACGUGGGCAACCUGCCCCAGACAUCGGGAUAACCAUUCGAAAGGAUGGCUAAUACCGGAUAUGACCACUUCGGGCAUCCGAUGGUGGUGGAAAGGAUUCUGGUCUGGGAUGGGCCCGCGGCCUAUCAGCUAGUUGGUGGGGUAAUGGCCUACCAAGGCGACGACGGGUAGCCGGCCUGAGAGGGCGACCGGCCACACUGGGACUGAGACACGGCCCAGACUCCUACGGGAGGCAGCAGUGGGGAAUAUUGCGCAAUGGGCGAAAGCCUGACGCAGCGACGCCGCGUGAGGGACGAAGGUCUUCGGAUUGUAAACCUCUUUCAGCAGGGACGAAGCGAAAGUGACUGUACCUGCAGAAGAAGCACCGGCUAACUACGUG
rnacentral:rRNA from 1 species